rnacentral:rRNA from 1 species
UACGUAGGGUGCAAGCGUUACUCGGAAUUACUGGGCGUAAAGCGUGCGCAGGCGGCUAUGCAAGACAGAUGUGAAAUCCCCGGGCUCAACCUGGGAACUGCAUUUGUGACUGCAUGGCUAGAGUACGGUAGAGGGGGAUGGAAUUCCGCGUGUAGCAGUGAGAUGCGUAGAUAUGCGGAGGAACACCGAUGGCGAAGGCAAUCCCCUGGACCUGUACUGACGCUCAUGCACGAAAGCGUGGGGAGCAAACAGG